UACGGAGGAUGCGAGCGUUAUCCGGAUUUAUUGGGUUUAAAGGGUGCGUAGGUUGUUUUUUAAGUCAGCGGUGAAAGUUUGUGGCUCAACCAUAAAAUUGCCGUUGAAACUGGAAGACUUGAGUGUGUUUGAGGUAGGCGGAAUGCGUGGUGUAGGGGUAAAAUCCGUAGAGAUCAAGAGGAAUACUCAUUGCGAAGGCGACCUGCUAGAACAUAACUGACGCUGAUGCGCGAAAGCGUGGGGAGCAAACAGG
rnacentral:rRNA from 1 species